rnacentral:pre_miRNA from 1 species
GGCCCGGUUGGCAGUCAGGGCUACUGUAAACAUCCUUGACUGGAAGCUGGUGUUAGGUUUUUGGGCUUUCAGUCGGAUGUUUGCAGCAGCCAACUGC